rnacentral:rRNA from 1 species
UACGUAGGGUGCGAGCGUUUAAUCGGAAUUACUGGGCGUAAAGCGUGCGCAGGCGGCUUCGCAAGUCAGACGUGAAAUCCCCCGGGCUUAACCUGGGAAUGGCGUUUGAAACUACGGAGCUGGAGUAUGGCAGAGGGGGGUGGGAAUUCCACGUGUAGCGGUGAAAUGCGUAGAUAUGUGGAGGAACACCGAUGGCGAAGGCAGCCCCCUGGGCCAAUACUGACGCUCAUGCACGAAAGCGUGGGGAGCAAACAGG